UUUUAACAACCGAUAUGAACUAACCCAUUAAGGGACAUCUUGCUUUUUUGCAGAUCUCGGCAAAUACAAAUAAUGCUGCUUUCAGCACUGCAUGUAAAUUGUGUGUGACCGCAAGCUAUUGAUCACUUGAGUAAAUACAAACAUGCAGGACGGUGAUUUUGGAACCACACACAGUAUGUUUGCUUCAGACAUUUUGUCACUUUGAGAGACAUGUGACUAGCACGAAAAGCUGAGGAACAUACAUAGAGUCUGGCUGCUUCAGACAGUUUUCCUAACAUCAAUCCAAGAAAUGGACUGGGAGAUAAAGAGCUCAGCCAGGUAUGAGAAUGAGAACAGGGGAGCUGUUCCCCACCAUUCCAUAAUAACCACUGAGAUUCUCUGUGGAAAAUCUUUGAGAUGAAAUCUCUACUCUGUUUUCCUAAGGCGAGUCUUGGAGCAACAACUGUCUUCUCUAC
rnacentral:lncRNA from 1 species